rnacentral:rRNA from 1 species
AUUGAACGCUGGCGGCAGGCCUAACACAUGCAAGUCGAACGGUAACAGGAAGCAGCUUGCUGCUUUGCUGACGAGUGGCGGACGGGUGAGUAAUGUCUGGGAAACUGCCCGAUGGAGGGGGAUAACUACUGGAAACGGUAGCUAAUACCGCAUAACGUCGCAAGACCAAAGAGGGGGACCUUAGGGCCUCUUGCCAUCGGAUGUGCCCAGAUGGGAUUAGCUAGUAGGUGGGGUAACGGCUCACCUAGGCGACGAUCCCUAGCUGGUCUGAGAGGAUGACCAGCCAAACUGGAACUUGGACACGGUCCAGACUCCUACGGGAGGCAGCAGGUGGGAAUAUUGCACAAUGGGCGCAAGCCUGAUGCAGCCAUGCCGCGUGUAUGAAGGAAGGCUUCGGGUUGUAAAGUACUUUCAGCGGGGAGGAAGGGAGUAAAGUUAAUACCUUUGCUCAUUGACGUUACCCGCAGAAGAAGCACCGGCUAACUCCGUG